AGCAGCCGCGGUAAUUCCAGCUCCAAUAGCGUAUAUUAAAGUUGUUGCAGUUAAAAAGCUCGUAGUUGAAUUUCGGGGUCAGUAGGUUGGUCAUGCCACUGGUAUGUACUGGUCUCACUGAUUCCUCCUUCCUGAUGAGCCGUAAUGCCAUUAAUUUGGUGUUGCGAGGAAUCUGGACUGUUACUUUGAAAAAUUGAGUGUUUAAAGCAGGCAUACGCUUGAAUACAUUAGCAUGGAAUAAUGAAAUAGGACGUUUGAUCCUAUUUUGUUGGUUUCUAGGAUUGACGUAAUGAUUAAUAGGGAUAGUUGGGGGCAUUAGUAUUCAAUUGUCAGAGGUGAAAUUCUUGGAUUUAUUGAAGACUAACUACUGCGAAAGCAUUCGCCAAGGAUGUUUUCAUUAAUCAAGAACGAAAGUUAGGGGAUCGAAGACGAUCAGAUACCGUCGUAGUCUUAACCAUAAACUAUGCCGACUAGGGAUCGGAUGAUGUUAUUUUUAAUGA
rnacentral:rRNA from 1 species